rnacentral:rRNA from 1 species
GACUAACGCGUAGGAAUCUACCUAGUAGAAGGGGAUAGCCCGGGGAAACUCGGAUUAAUACCGUAUACCUCCUUAGGGAGAAAGAGGGCUUAGCUUUGAUGCUCUCGCUAUUAGAUGAGCCUGCGUAAGAUUAGCUUGUUGGUGAGGUAAUGGCUCACCAAGGCGACGAUCUUUAGCUGGUCUGAGAGGACGAUCAGCCACAUUGGGACUGAGACACGGCCCAGACUCCUACGGGAGGCAGCAGUGGGGAAUAUUGGACAAUGGGCGCAAGCCUGAUCCAGCCAUACCGCGUGUGUGAACAAGGCUUUCGGGUUGUAAAGCACUUUAAGUAAGGAGGAAAAGAUUGUAGUUAAUACCUACAAUCCGUGACGUUACUUACAGAAUAAGGACC